rnacentral:lncRNA from 10 species
CUUUCUCUCUUCGCCUGCUGCCGUCCAUGUAAGAUGGGACUUGCUCCUCCUUGCCUUCCACCAUGAUUGUGAGGCUUCCUCAGCCACGUGGAACUAUGCCCUGACCUUCCGGGAAACCCUCGGUGAGAGGCCCACAGCCUCGCUUCUAGGGUCACCACUGCUUCUUCCAGUCUAGCCAAACAGCUCCUAGUACAGCUCAGAGCACCCUGCAAGGAGGGCACGUGUUAAAUCGAGGAGCACACAUGCUCCACGAGGAAUUCUUUGCUUUGAGGCCAUGCACAGAGGAUGCAAUGAGAAGGCACCAUCUGUGAGGAACAGGCCUCCGACAGACACCGAAUUUGCUGGCACUUUGAUCUUGGACUUCCCAGCCUCCAAAAUUAUCCAUAAUGGAUUCCUGGGACAUUUUCAGAUCUCCUUCCAGCUUCCUCUUCGCCCUUUCCAAGUCCGCCCGCAGUUUCUUCUCCUGCUCUAAGGAACCCUCAAGCUGAGAAGACACACAGAUGGAGUCUCGCUGCGAUGCCCAGGCUGGAGUGCAAUGGUGCAAUCUUGGCUCACUGCAACCUUCGUUUCCCAGGUUUAAGCAAUUCUCCUGCCUCAGCCUCCCAAGUAUCUGGGACUACAGGCGAGCGUCACCAUGCCUGGCUAAUUUUUGUAUUUUUAGUAGAGAUGUUUAGUAGAGAGUUUCACCAUAUUGGCCAGGCUGGUCUUGAACUCCUGACCUCAAGGGAUCCGCCCACCUUGGCCUCUCAAAGUGCUGGGAUUACAGGCGUGAGCCACCGUGCCUGGCAAUGUUUGUAGUUUCUUUCAUGAAUUUACCUCCUUUUAUUCUUUAAUCCCUGCUUAUCUCUAAAGAGUAAGUAACUGAAAGUAAUAAAACGGAAUUUUCUCAACAAUAUUUUAUAAG